rnacentral:rRNA from 1 species
UAGGGAAUCUUCCACAAUGGACGCAAGUCUGAUGGAGCAACGCCGCGUGAGUGAAGAAGGUUUUCGGAUCGUAAAGCUCUGUUGUUGGUGAAGAAGGAUAGAGGUAGUAACUGGCCUUUAUUUGACGGUAAUCAACCAGAAAGUCACGGCUAACUACGUGCCAGCAGCCGCGGUAAUACGUAGGUGGCAAGCGUUGUCCGGAUUUAUUGGGCGUAAAGCGAGCGCAGGCGGAAGAAUAAGUCUGAUGUGAAAGCCCUCGGCUUAACCGAGGAACUGCAUCGGAAACUGUUUUUCUUGAGUGCAGAAGAGGAGAGUGGAAUUCCAUGUGUAGCGGUGGAAUGCGUAGAUAUAUGGAAGAACACCAGUGGCGAAGGCGACUCUCUGGUCUGCAACUGACGCUGAGGCUCGAAAGCAUGGGUAGCCAACAGG